GCAGGUUAACGAAGUCGGACCACUACUGACAGAGGCAAACUUCAAGUGAUCUGAGCGGGAACAACAACGAGCAUAAGUGAAAGCAGAGUAACUCAGGUUUUGAACGUUCAGCCAGGGUUUGGUUCGUCACCCAUCUUGCAACGACGACAUCGAGCUGCGGAAAAAUGAGAAAAUUGCCAUGCAGCUAUGUUACAGAAAACAGCGGUUUUCCGUGAGGUCAAGAUGAGCUAGAUCGAGAUGAGGGUGCGUUACACUUACCAGACGGUAAGCUUUGUAUUUCACCGAUGGAAAAUCCUGCUGUCAAGAGCUGACUAGAAGAUUUGAUUCACUGCCAAGAGACCUCGCGAAUGUUAGAUACCCACGCCCGUUCUUAUAACACGAGAAGCCAGAGAGCCUUGUACACGUAGAAUAAAACAACCGGUGUAGUACGAGCUUCUAUUUUUGUUUCAAAUUUUUAAUGCUUGCGGUGUUAAUACUGAAUGCGCACAUAUGAAGAUUCUAGUAUAUCUUCAAAAACUUGCAUUCAUGCUAAGCUUCACUUGAGUUCAGGGAAAUUAUUCUCAGUUCUUUAGAUGGUUUCGUCUUGAAGCUGACUGACGAUCAAA